AUUGAAGUGACCGCUUGGCGCGUGUUUAAACAUGCAGUCGAACGAACCUUAGGGUUAGUGGCGGACGGGUGAGUAACGCGUGAGAAUCUGCCCUCAGGAGGGGGAUAACGGUUGGAAACGACCGCUAAUACCCCAUAUGCCUACUGGUGAAAUGAAUUUCGCCUGAGGAUGAGCUCGCGUCUGAUUAGCUAGUUGGUGAGGUAAUGGCUCACCAAGGCUUCGAUCAGUAGCUGGUCUGAGAGGAUGAUCAGCCACACUGGGACUGAGACACGGCCCAGACUCCUACGGGAGGCAGCAGUGGGGAAUUUUCCGCAAUGGGCGAAAGCCUGACGGAGCAACGCCGCGUGAGGGACGAAGGCCUCUGGGCUGUAAACCUCUUUUCUCAAGGAAGAAGAUAUGACGGUACUUGAGGAAUAAGCCACGGCUAAUUCCGUGCCAGCAGCCGCGGUAAUACGGGAGUGGCAAGCGUUAUCCGGAAUUAUUGGGCGUAAAGCGUCCGCAGGCGGCUUUUCAAGUCUGCUGUUAAAGCGUGGAGCUUAACUCCAUCAUGGCAGUGGAAACUGAAAGGCUUGAGUAUGGUAGGGGCAGAGGGAAUUCCCGGUGUAGCGGUGAAAUGCGUAGAUAUCGGGAAGAACACCAGUGGCGAAGGCGCUCUGCUGGGCCAUUACUGACGCUCAUGGACGAAAGCCAGGGGAGCGAAAGGGAUUAGAUACCCCUGUAGUCCUGGCCGUAAACGAUGAACACUAGGUGUCGGGGGAAUCGACCCCUUCGGUGUCGUAGCUAACGCGUUAAGUGUUCCGCCUGGGGAGUACGCACGCAAGUGUG
rnacentral:rRNA from 1 species